rnacentral:rRNA from 1 species
UACGUAUGGUGCAAGCGUUAUCCGGAUUUACUGGGUGUAAAGGGUGCGUAGGUGGAAUGGUAAGUCAGAUGUGAAAACUAUGGGCUCAACCCAUAGACUGCAUUUGAAACUGUCGUUCUAGAGUGCAGGAGAGGAAAGUGGAAUUCCCAGUGUAGCGGUGAAAUGCAUAGAUAUUAGGAGGAACACCAGUGGCGAAGGUGGCUCUCUGGACUGUUACUGACACUGAGGCACGAAAGCGUGGGGAGCAAAC